rnacentral:lncRNA from 1 species
GUCUUCUUCUUAAAUUGGUAACGCUUGCCCUUUCUUUCUCAAACAAAUCAACGCCCAACACCACCACCAAAUUAUAGGCAACCAACGCGUAUCCAACAGCAUAAAAUAGUUCCCAAGAGCAUAAAAUAGUUCCCAACAGCGCCAGCGCAGGGGGCAAAACAGAGCGACCAAAUGGGGGCACCCUCAGGGGAGUUGCGCUCAUCUGGAGCGAGACGCCAGCCUGGGAAAGCGGAACCCCUUUCCCGCCCCGCCCCGAGGACUCACGCUCAGGUGCAACGCCGAGACUCCCGGGGGAAAGAGAGGUGACCGUCUCGGCGCGACCGCCCACACCUCUUGCUCCAAAUGACCCCAGCACACAGGAGAGGUCCUCUCAGCGUGGGACUCCGUCUCUCCCGAAGGCAGGGAGCACAACGAAGCGGCCACUCGUCUCUGCAGCCGCGCUACCGGCCCGCAGCCUGGCUCGCAGGUGAGAUGUGACUUUUGCCUUCCACCACGACUGUGCCCGGUCUUGGGUAUGUCUUUAUCAGCAGCAGGACAAUGGACUCCUACAGUAAAUUGGUACCAGUAGAGUGGGCGCUGCUGAAAAGAUACCCAAAAAUGUGAAAGUGACUUUGGAACUGGGUAACACGCAGAGGUUGGAACAGUUUGGAGGGCUCAGAAUAAGACAGAAAAAUGUGGGAAAGUUUGGAACUUCCUAGAGACUUGUUGAAUGGCUUUGUGCAAAAUGCUGAUAAUGACAUGGACAAUGAAAUCCAGGUUAAUAUGGUCUCUGAUGGAGAUGAAGAACUUGUUGGGAACUGGAGCAAAGGUGACUCUUGUUUUAGCAAAGAGACUGGUGGCAUUUUGCCCCUGCUCUAGAGAUUUUUGGAACUUUGAACUUAAGAGAGAUGAUUUAGGUAUCUGGCAGAAGAAAUUUCUAAGCAGCAAAGCACUCAAGAGGUGACUUGAGUGCUGUUAAAGGCAUACAGUUUUAAAAGGGAAACAGUAUAAAAGUUCAGAAAAUUUGCAGCCUGACAAUGUGAUAGAAAGGAAAAUCCCAUUUUCUGAGGAGAAAUUCAAGCUGGCUGCAGAAAUUUGCAUAUGUAAUGAGGAGCUGAAUGUUAAUCCCCAAGACAAUGGGAAAAAUGUCUCCAGGGCAUGUUAGAGGUUUUCACGGCAGCUCCUUCCAUCACAGGCCUGGAAGCCUAAAAGGUGAGACUUGCCUUUCUCCUUCUGCCAUGAUUGUGAGGCUUCUUCAGCCACGUGGAACUGUGAGUCAUUAAAUCUCUUUCUUUUGUAAAUCACCCAGUCUUGGGUAUGUCUUUAUCAGCAGCAUAAAAUGGACUAAUAUUUAAUAUAAUUACUAAUAUAUUUAUGUAUAUUCACAUUGUU